rnacentral:snRNA from 1 species
AGCUUUGUGCAUUGGCAGUAUCAUAACCAAUGAAGUUAUCUGAGGCGUGAUUAUUGCUAUUGAAAACUUUCUGGUCAUUUCCCCUUCCUGCUGGUAGAGUACAGUACUACUGUAGACAGAACUGU